rnacentral:tRNA from 1 species
GCGGCUGUAGCUCAGCUGGAUAGAGUACCUGGCUACGAACCAGGCGGUCGCAGGUUCGACUCCUGCCAGCCGCGCCA